GACGAACGCUGGCGGCGUGCUUAACACAUGCAAGUCGAACGGAAAGGCCCUGCUUUUGUGGGGUGCUCGAGUGGCGAACGGGUGAGUAACACGUGAGUAACCUGCCCUUGACUUUGGGAUAACUUCAGGAAACUGGGGCUAAUACCGGAUAGGAGCUCCUGCUGCAUGGUGGGGGUUGGAAAGUUUCGGCGGUUGGGGAUGGACUCGCGGCUUAUCAGCUUGUUGGUGGGGUAGUGGCUUACCAAGGCUUUGACGGGUAGCCGGCCUGAGAGGGUGACCGGCCACAGUGGGACUGAGAUACGGCCCAGACUCCUACGGGAGGCAGCAGUGGGGAAUAGUGCACAAUGGGCGGAAGCCUGAUGAAGCAACGCCGCGUGCGGGAUGACGGCCUUCGGGUUGUAAACCGCUUUCGCCUGUGACGAAGCGUGAGUGACGGUAAUGGGUAAAGAAGCACCGGCUAACUACGUG
rnacentral:rRNA from 1 species